GACGAACGCUGGCGGCGUGCCUAAUACAUGCAAGUCGAACGAGUGGCGGACGGGUGAGUAAUAUAUCGGAACGUGCCCAGUCGCGGGGGAUAACUACUCGAAAAAGUGGCUAAUACUGCAUACUAUUGGAGCGGCCGAUAUCGGAUUAGCUAGUUGGUGGGGUAAAGGCUAACCAAGGCAACGAUCCGUAGCUGGUUUGAGAGGACGACCGGCCACACUGGGACUGAGACACGGCCCAGACUCCUACGGGAGGCAGCAGUGGGGAAUUUUGGACAAUGGGGGAAACCCUGAUCCAGCCAUCCCGCGUGUGUGAGAAGGCCUUCGGGUUGUAAAGUACUGUUGGCAGAGAAGCGGUAUCUACAGAAUAAGCACCGGCUAACUACGUGCCAGCCGCCGCGGUAAUAC
rnacentral:rRNA from 1 species